rnacentral:misc_RNA from 1 species
GAUGAAGAACGCAGCGAAAUGCGAUAAGUAGUGUGAAUUGCAGAAUUCAGUGAAUCAUCGAAUCUUUGAACGCACAUUGCGCCCCUUGGUAUUCCAUGGGGCAUGCCUGUUCGAGCGUCAUUUGUACCCUCAAGCUAUGCUUGGUGUUGGGUGUUUGUCCUCUCCUUUGCGAUUGGACUCGCCUUAAAGACAUUGGCAGCCAGUGUAUUGGUCUUGAAGCGCAGCACAUUUUGCGAUUCUUGCUGAUAAUCACUAGCGUCCAGUAAGCCUAUUUUAACACUUUUGACCUCGGAUCAGGUAGGGAUACCCGCUGAACUUAAGCAUAUCAAUAAGCGGAGGA